rnacentral:misc_RNA from 1 species
GAUGAAGAACGUAGCGAAAUGCGAUAGUAAUGUGAAUUGCAGAAUUCAGUGAAUCAUCGAAUCUUUGAACGCACAUUGCGCCCGCCAGUAUUCUGGCGGGCAUGCCUGUUCGAGCGUCAUUACAACCCUCAGGCCCCCGGGCCUGGCGUUGGGGAUCGGCGGAAGCCCCCUGCGGGCACAACGCCGUCCCCCAAAUACAGUGGCGGUCCCGCCGCAGCUUCCAUUGCGUAGUAGCUAACACCUCGCAACUGGAGAGCGGCGCGGCCACGCCGUAAAACACCCAACUUCUGAAUGUUGACCUCGAAUCAGGUAGGAAUACCCGCUGAACUUAAGCAUAUCAAUAAGCGGAGGA